rnacentral:rRNA from 1 species
GGCCUUGCGCGAAUGGAGCGGCCGAUGGCAGAUUAGGUAGUUGGUGGGGUAAAGGCUCACCAAGCCUUCGAUCUGUAGCUGGUCUGAGAGGACGACCAGCCACACUGGGACUGAGACACGGCCCAGACUCCUACGGGAGGCAGCAGUGGGGAAUUUUGGACAAUGGGCGCAAGCCUGAUCCAGCCAUGCCGCGUGCAGGAUGAAGGCCUUCGGGUUGUAAACUGCUUUUGUACGGAACGAAAAGGCUCUUUCUAAUAAAGGGGGCUCAUGACGGUACCGUAAGAAUAAGCACCGGCUAACUACGUGCCAGCAGCCGCGGUAAUACGUAGGGUGCAAGCGUUAAUCGGAAUUACUGGGCGUAAAGCGUGCGCAGGCGGUGAUGUAAGACAGUUGUGAAAUCCCCGGGCUCAACCUGGGAACUGCAUCUGUGACUGCAUCGCUGGAGUGCGGCAGAGGGGGAUGGAAUUCCGCGUGUAGCAGUGAAAUGCGUAGAUAUGCGGAGGAACACCGAUGGCGAAGGCAAUCCCCUGGGCCUGCACUGACGCUCAUGCACGAAAGCGUGGGGAGCAAACAGGAUUAGAUACCCUGGUAGUCCACGCCCUAAACGAUGUCAACUGGUUGUUGGGUCUUCACUGACUCAGUAACGAAGCUAACGCGUGAAGUUGACCGCCUGGGGAGUACGGCCGCAAGGUUGAAACUCAGAGGAAUUGACGGGGACCCGCACAAGCGGUGGAUGAUGUGGUUUAAUUCGAUGCAACGCGAAAAACCUUACCCACCUUUGACAUGUACGGAAUUUGCCAGAGAUGGCUUAGUGCUCGAAAGAGAGCCGUAACACAGGUGCUGCAUGGCUGUCGUCAGCUCGUGUCGUGAGAUGUUGGGUUAAGUCCCGCAACGAGCGCAACCCUUGUCAUUAGUUGCUACAUUUAGUUGGGCACUCUAAUGAGACUGCCGGUGACAAACCGGAGGAAGGUGGGGAUGACGUCAAGUCCUCAUGGCCCUUAUAGGUGGGGCUACACACGUCAUACAAUGGCUGGUACAAAGGGUUGCCAACCCGCGAGGGGGAGCUAAUCCCAUAAAGCCAGUCGUAGUCCGGAUCGCAGUCUGCAACUCGACUGCGUGAAGUCGGAAUCGCUAGUAAUCGUGGAUCAGAAUGUCACGGUGAAUACGUUCCCGGGUCUUGUACACACCGCCCGUCACACCAUGGGAGCGGGUUCUGCCAGAAGUAGUUAGCCUAACCGCAAGGAGGGCGAUUACCGCGGCAGGGUUCGUGACUGGGGUGAAGUCGUAACAAGGUA